rnacentral:rRNA from 1 species
GACGAACGCUGGCGGCGUGCCUAAUACAUGCAAGUAGAACGCACAGUUUAUACCGUAGCUUGCUACACCAUAGACUGUGAGUUGCGAACGGGUGAGUAACGCGUAGGUAACCUGCCUGGUAGCGGGGGAUAACUAUUGGAAACGACAGCUAAUACCGCAUAAUAUUAAUUAUUGCAUGAUAAUUAAUUGAAAGGUGCAAUUGCACCACUACCAGAUGGACCUGCGUUGUAUUAGCUAGUAGGUGAGGUAACGGCUCACCUAGGCGACGAUACAUAGCCGACCUGAGAGGGUGAUCGGCCACACUGGGACUGAGACACGGCCCAGACUCCUACGGGAGGCAGCAGUAGGGAAUCUUCGGCAAUGGACGAAAGUCUGACCGAGCAACGCCGCGUGAGUGAAGAAGGUUUUCGGAUCGUAAAGCUCUGUUGUAAGAGAAGAACGGGUGUGAGAGUGGAAAGUUCACACUGUGACGGUAUCUUACCAGAAAGGGACGGCUAACUACGUG